rnacentral:rRNA from 1 species
GUGGGGAAUCUUGCGCAAUGGGCGAAAGCCUGACGCAGCCAUGCCGCGUGAAUGAUGAAGGUCUUAGGAUUGUAAAAUUCUUUCACCGGGGACGAUAAUGACGGUACCCGGAGAAGAAGCUCCGGCUAACUUCGUGCCAGCAGCCGCGGUAAUACGAAGGGGGCUAGCGUUGCUCGGAAUUACUGGGCGUAAAGGUCGCGUAGGCGGACAGCUUAGUCAGAGGUGAAAGCCCAGGGCUCAACCUUGGAAUUGCCUUUGAUACUGGCUGUCUUGAGUUUGGGAGAGGUGAGUGGAGCUCCGAGUGUAGAGGUGAAAUUCGUAGAUAUUCGGAAGAACACCAGUGGCGAAGGCGACUCACUGGCCCAAUACUGACGCUGAGGCGCGAAAGCGUGGGGAGCAAACAGGAUUAGAUACCCGAGUAGUCC